GUUUUCACAACAGACAGUCCGGAGGAGCCACGGUGCUUGUGAGCAGUCGUGGGAAGGAAAGAGUCUCAGCUGUGCCACGGCACUGGGUGUGCCACUUGGGGAUUGAGGCUGAAGACCUGGAUAUCGUGAGCUCAGAGAAAUGAGGACAGUUGGAGCGGUGUGAGAGGUGCACACAGAUAACUCUGAGAUUUACAGUGCCGUCCCCCAGCUGAGUUGGUGAGGGAAGAGGCAGAAUGACAAGAAGUGUUACUUGGCAAACAAGACAUCUGUGCUGCUCCCGCCAGUCUAACAGCAUCGCUCCUGACUGAAGGCAGAACUUGCUCGUGCUCGCCAGCUGCAUGGAUAACAUUCCUGAGGCACUUCCUAUGGGGGCAAGUACUAAAGACAGUCUCUUUACCCAGAAAUACCCACCAGUAAAGUUUUUAUCAGAAAAGGAUCGGAAAAGAAUUUUGAUAACCGGAGGCGCAGGGUUCGUGGGCUCCCAUCUAACUGACAAACUCAUGAUGGACGGCCACGAGGUGACCGUGGUGGACAAUUUCUUCACGGGCAGGAAGAGAAACGUGGAGCACUGGAUUGGACAUGAGAACUUCGAGUUGAUUAACCACGACGUGGUGGAGCCCCUCUACAUCGAGG
rnacentral:sRNA from 1 species